GAACUUGUUGUUUUCCACAGUACAAUGGCAUUGUUACUGGCUUCGCAUGGUGGGUACUGGCAAGUAUUCCUGAGUAGCUGCUGCAUUUAUGGAGGCAGACUGAAUUCUAUCCUUCUCCAAAAUGGAUGAAAAUCAAAGUGAGGAAUUCUGGGAUCAGACAUACUUUUAGUGAGGAAGGAGUAUUUAACAAAGUUGGCUGAGAUUUCAUGUGUUCCACAGUACCAAAGAUUUGCCCAUCUUUCAACUGGGAAGAACUGAAAGGCAGGAAUGCUGCGAGAUGCACCUUUGAGAGGUACCCAGGUGCUCUAACAAGAAAGCAACAUGAUCUUCAGGUGGGCUCCCAAAGAAUUUAAAUGCAUUCAACUGUUCUUUGGAGCUGCCAGCAUUUGGUUUGCAGAAGCUACAAUCAACAUUUGUUUUGAAAUUUCUGAUUUGAUAUGUACUUGUGGCUUUUGUAUUACACACUUAAAUAAAAAUUCAUGUUGAA